rnacentral:sRNA from 1 species
UACUAGAAAUAGAAAAGGAGCUAUGCGUCAACAUAGCCCCAAUGAAGAACCGUUAAAAAGACGGUAGCUUUCGUUAGUUUGAUAUUGUA